rnacentral:ncRNA from 2 species
GAAAUGCGAUAAGUAAUGUGAAUUGCAGAAUUCAGUGAAUCAUCGAAUCUUUGAACGCACCUUGCGCUCCUUGGUAUUCCGAGGAGCAUGCCUGUUUGAGUGUCAUGAAAUCUUCAACCUACAAGCUUUUGUGGUUUGUAGGCUUGGACUUGGAGGCUUGUCGGCCGUUAUCGGUCGGCUCCUCUUAAAUGCAUUAGCUUGGUUCCUUGCGGAUCGGCUCUCGGUGUGAUAAUGUCUACGCCGCGACCGUGAAGCGUUUGGCGAGCUUCUAACCGUCUUAUAAGACAGCUUUAUGACCUCUGACCUCAAAUCAGGUAGGACUACCCGCUGAACUUAA